CCUACGGGUGGCAGCAGUGGGGAAUAUUGCACAAUGGGGGAAACCCUGAUGCAGCGACGCCGCGUGAGUGAAGAAGUAUUUCGGUAUGUAAAGCUCCAUCAGCAGGGAAGAAGAAAGACGGUACCUGACUAAUAAGCCCCGGCUAACUACGUGCCAGCCGCCGCGGUAAUUCGGAGGGGGCAAGCGUUAUCCGGGUUUACUGGGUGUAAAGGGAGCGUAGGCGGGUGUGCAAGUCUGAAGUGAAAGCCCAGGGCUCAACCCCGGGACUGCUUGGGAAACUGGGGGGCUAGAGUGCUGGAGAGGUAGGCGGAAUUCGUGGUGGAGCGGUGAAAUGCGUAGAUAUUAGGAGGAACGCCGGUGGCGAAGGCGGCUUACUGGACAGUAACUGACGUUGAGGCUCGAAAGCGUGGGGAGCAAACAGGAUUAGAUACCCGGGUAGUC
rnacentral:rRNA from 1 species